AACCCUUUCCCUUGCUCCCCAGCCCUGAUGGGAUUCAGGUGGAAGUCUGAAGCCAUGCUGAUUAGAGUAAGGGAGGAUAGGCAUCAACAGGAGCAGAUCCCUCUACACUGAGAGUCAUAAAGAGACUUUAUUGACAAAUUUUGGCCUUAUUUUUUUUUUCCUCACAAUGAAGCAGCUGCAUUGGGGGUGCUCUAGAAAACAACUUUGUAUUCAAGAACAGUGACUUUAUGCUUGGAACAAAAGAGCAUGAAGGAACAACACUGGUACAUUUGGAACAGCCUGGACAGAGCUACUGUUUCAUGCUGACAAAACCAAACCCUAUGGGGAAAGCAGUGAGGCAGAAGCAGCAGACUAGAAAGAUGCAUCAAUGCGCCUCAGCUACUGGAACUCUGGAAAAGUACUGUAUUAGGAGCAACAGAAGGCACCAGAAGGAUGUUCUGAAUGUCACUACUUUAUAUUAGCUUAGAGGACAACAAAGUAAGGAGGGAUUUGUGGGCAAAAACCUAACAGAGCAUCACAGCAGAGAUGACACAAGAAAAUACCAAAGCAGCUUGAAUGGAAAAAAGGCUGCAACACACAAAUGCAGCAAUAGUGAAAGAGCAAGAAAACCAAACAAAAUUCCACUGAACAUGCCUGCAAUGUAAAGAAGCCAACUACAGUUAUCAACUACUGCUACCACUAAGUGCUACAGAGCAGACAGACAAAUGCAUGUAUAUCAGAGCUUCUGAAAAGCAGCUAAAGAAGGGAGUUGAAUUAAAAAAAAUAUAAUAAAUAUGCCAUGCUUCAAUUUUGUACCUGAAAAGCUAUGGCUUGGCUGAGGCUAUCUAGAGCAGGGUCUUCACCUUCCUCUUCACUCUCUUCUUCCUCCUCACUUCAUUGUGCAGGGAGAGAG